UCUCGUUAGAUGGCGAUUUCUUUCAUCUUGGUUCUUAUAAAUUUUUUGUAACUUGACUUGAUUUGAUUUUAACAAAUUUGAAUUAAUUAUCUCAUUAAUCUGUUUUAAACUUAAAUUAUUGUAUUGUUAAUCUGCUAAUUUAAUAAUAAAAGUACAAAGCUUAUUGCCGUUAACAUGAUUACGGACAUUCAGUUAUCUUUCUUUGCCAACAUCUUGGGGAUUUGCUUAUUCCUCUUGGUUAUAAUGUAUCAUUAUGUUAGCGUGAUGGCGACCAAUGAAAAGCAACAAUGAUACAGUUGUUUACUUUGGCUUAAAUAAUGUAAUUUAUCAAUGGAUUUGUAAUGGAUUAUUAAUUAACAAUAUUUUUAUUUAA